rnacentral:rRNA from 1 species
CAAUAGCGUAUAUUAAAGUUGUUGCGGUAAAAAAGCUCGUAGUUGGAUUUCUGUUGAGGACGACCGGUCCGUACCACGUACGCGCAUCUGGUUCGGCCUCGGCAUCCUCUCGAUAGACGUCUUUGCGCUUGAUUGCGUGGAACGGAUUUCGGGACUUUUACUUUGAGGAAAUUAGAGUGUUCACGGCAGGCUAUCGCCAGAAUACAUUAGCAUGGAAUAAUACUAUAGGAUCUCGGUUCUAUUUUGUUGGUUUCUAGACCCGGGGUAAUGAUUAAUAGGGACAAUUGGGGGCAUUAGUAUCAACACGUCAGAGGUGGAAUUCUUGGAUUUAUUAAAGACUAACUUAUGCGAAAGCAUUUGCCAAGGAUGUUUUCAUUAAUCAAGAACGAAAGUUAGGGGAUCAAAGAUGAUCAGAUACCAU